rnacentral:misc_RNA from 1 species
UUUCCGUUGGUGAACCAGCGGAAGGAUCAUUACAGAGAUCAUGCCCCUCGCGGGUAGACCUCCCACCCUGUGUUAUUUACGAUUGUUGCUUUGGCAGGUCGCCUUCGGGCACUCGGCUCCGGCUGGUCAGCGGCCGCCAGAGGAAUCAAAACUCUUAUUAUUAUUGUCGUCUGAGUACUAUAUAAUAGUUAAAACUUUCAACAACGGAUCUCUUGGUUCUGGCAUCGAUGAAGAACGCAGC